ACCAGCAGCCAUAUCACCCUGCAGCUCACAACUGACAACCCACUGAAGCUCAGCAGGUGUGAGCCUGGUCAGUACCUGGAUGGGAGACUCCUUGGAAAAACUAAGGUUGCAGCCGGAA
rfam:Lepisosteus oculatus linkage group LG26, whole genome shotgun sequence.